UUAAGUUCAGCGGGUAUCCCUACCUGAUCCGAGGUCAACCUUGUGAGUAGGUCUUCCGGCAGACGGGGCCCCGACUUUCAAAGCGAAAGAUUCUGCUACGCUUAAAGCCGGUGCCACGCCGCCGAGCGUUUCGAGGUGCGUCCCUAAAGGGGGACGUCGCCCAACACCAAGCCAGGCUUGAGUGGUGAAAUGACGCUCGA
rnacentral:misc_RNA from 1 species